rnacentral:rRNA from 1 species
GAGAGGACCGGGAUGGACGCACCGCUAGUGUCCCAGUUGUCCCGCCAGGGGCACGGCUGGGUGGCUAUGUGCGGACCGGAUAAGCGCUGAAAGCAUCUAAGCGCGAAACCGACCUCAAGAUUAGAUUUCCCACUGGGUAACCAGGUAAGACUCCUGAUAGACCAUCAGGUCGAUAGGCCGGGUGUGUAAGCGCAGUAAUGCGUUAAGCUGACCGGUACUAAUCAGUCGAGGGCUUGACCUUACCU